rnacentral:lncRNA from 1 species
GGAUGGCCCAGAUCUCAUGUAUGCAAACGGUCCAGAUUUGAUCACGCACGGACAGCCCAGAUUUAUUUCCAAUUUAAUCGCGAUCGGAUGGCCCAAACCCUAGCCGCCAGAACCCUCGCCGGAGAAGACGACCUAGCCACUAGAGGAACCGACCACCGCCACCCGCCGCACAUUAGAGGAUUUUUCGGCCGCCAAAUGAGGUAAAACUUCUCCCCUUGUCUCAUUUUUCGAUGUUGAACCUCCCUAUGGCCAACUCGGAGCCAAACCACCAGCUGAUUGGCUGGAAAAUACCGCCAAGUCUAUCGGUGCCACUGCAGUUUCCUCAAUUUUUGCCU